GUAAGGGUUCGUAGGCGGUGUGGCAAGUCGGGAGUGAAAUCUCUGGGCUCAACCCAGAGUCUGCUUCCGAAACUGCUGUGCUUGAGUGUGGGAGAGGCGCGUGGAAUUGCAGGUGUAGCGGUGAAAUGCGUAGAUAUCUGCAGGAACACCCGUGGCGAAAGCGGCGCGCUGGACCACUACUGACGCUGAGGAACGAAAGCUAGGGGAGCAAACAGGAUUAGAUACCCUGGUAGUCCUAGCCCUAAACGAUCAGGACUUGGGGUGCCACCCGUUCGGGUGUCGUCCCGGAGCUAACGCGUUAAGUCCUGCACCUGGGGAGUACGGUCGCAAGACUGAAACUCAAAGGAAUUGA
rnacentral:rRNA from 1 species